AGCUCCAAUAGCGUAUAUUAAAGUUGUUGCAGUUAAAAAGCUCGUAGUUGAAUUUUGGACUCGGCUGUUGUGGUCGGCCGCAUAGGUCUGUACUCUUCUGGCCGGGUCUUUCCUUCUGGAAAACCGUCAUGCCAUUCAUUUGGUGUGGCGGAGAUCCAGGACUUUUACCUUGAAAAAAUUAGAGUGUUUAAAGCAGGCAUACGCUUGAAUACAUUAGCAUGGAAUAAUAGAAUAGGACUUUGGUUCUAUUUUGUUGGUUUCUAGGACCGAAGUAAUGAUUAAUAGGGACAGUUGGGGGCAUUAGUAUUUAAUUGUCAGAGGUGAAAUUCUUGGAUUUAUGAAAGACUAACUUCUGCGAAAGCAUUUGCCAAGGAUGUUUUCA
rnacentral:rRNA from 1 species